GUCUACGGCCAUACCUAGGCGAAAACACCAGUUCCCGUCCGAUCACUGCAGUUAAGCGUCUGAGGGCCUCGUUAGUACUAUGGUUGGAGACAACAUGGGAAUCCGGGGUGCUGUAGGCUCCA
rnacentral:rRNA from 1 species